rnacentral:tRNA from 1 species
GUCGGUAUAGCUUAACAGGUAGAGCAACUGAUUUGUAAUCAGUAGGUUAGAGGUUCAAUUCCUCUUACCGACA